CAGCAGCCGCGGAAUACAGAGGGUGCGAGCGUUAAUCGGAUUUACUGGGCGUAAAGCGUGCGUAGGCGGCUUCUUAAGUCGGAUGUGAAAUCCCUGAGCUUAACUUAGGAAUUGCAUUCGAUACUGGGAAGCUAGAGUAUGGGAGAGGAUGGUAGAAUUCCAGGUGUAGCGGUGAAAUGCGUAGAGAUCGGAAGGAACAUCUGUGGCGAAGGCGACUAUCUGGGCCAACACUGACACUGAGGCACGAAAGCGUGGGGAGCAAACAGGAUUAGAUACCCCAGUAGUCCCUGUCUCUUAUACC
rnacentral:rRNA from 1 species